rnacentral:misc_RNA from 1 species
ACGAGUUUUGAAAGGGGUUGUAGCUGGCCUUUACCGAGGCAUGUGCACACCCUGCUCUUCCACUCUCAACCUCUGUGAACUAUUGUAGGCUCGGUGAAAGGCAUUGCCUUACUCGUAAGGGUAACAGUGCUGGAAGCCUUGUCUAUGUUUCCACUACAAACGCUUUAGUUAUAGAAUGUCACACUUGCGGAUAACGCAUCUAUAUA